rnacentral:rRNA from 1 species
CCUACGGGAGGCAGCAGUGGGGAAUAUUGGGCAAUGGGCGCAAGCCUGACCCAGCAACGCCGCGUGAAGGAAGAAGGCUUUCGGGUUGUAAACUUCUUUUAAGGGGAACGAACAAAGGACGGGACCCCUGGAAUAAGCCACGGCUAACUACGUGCCAGCAGCCGCGGUAAUCCGGAGGUGGCAAGCGGUAUCCGGAUUUAUUGGGUGGAAAGGGCGUGUAGGGGGGAGCGUAAGGCAGAUGUGAAAACUCAGGGCUCAACCCUGAGCCUGCAUUUGAAACUGUGUUUCUUGAGUGCUGGAGAGGCAAUCGUAUUUCCGUUUGUAGUGGUGACCUGCGUAGCUAUUCGGAGGAACACCAGUGGCGAAGGCGGCUUGCUGGACAGUAACUGACGCUGAGGCGCGAAAGCGUGGGGAGCAAACAGGAUUAGAUACCCCUGUAGUC